GACGAACGCUGGCGGCGUGCUUAACACAUGCAAGUCGAACGGAAAGGCCCUGCUUUUGUGGGGUGCUCGAGUGGCGAACGGGUGAGUAACACGUGAGUAACCUGCCCUUGACUUUGGGAUAACUUCAGGAAACUGGGGCUAAUAACGGAUAGGGGCUCCUGCUGGAUUGUGGGGGUUGGUAAGUUUCGGCGGUUGGGGAUGGUCUGGUGGGUGAUCAGCCGGUUGGUGGGGUGGUGGCGUACCAAGGCUUUGACGGGUAGCCGGCCUGAGAGGGUGACCGGCCAAAUGGGGACUGACAUACGGCCGAGAGCCGUACGGGAGGCAGCAGAGGGGAAGAAUGCAUGACGGGCGGACGCCGGGUGAGGCAACGCCGCGUGCGGGAUGAAGGGCUUUGGGGUAUGAAAAGAUUGGGCGUUUGACGAUGCCUAAAUGACGGUAAUGGGUAAGGAAGCAACGGCUAACUACGUG
rnacentral:rRNA from 1 species